CUAUAGGAAACCACGAGAUUGAACAGAAGAACAGAGACAGAACGCGGCAGUUUCCUUACCUUUUUAUCGUAAACAGAGCUUUAUAUGCCAUUAACCGACGACAAGGAUGGACGAAUUAAUCUUUUUUCUGAGGGAAAGGAAUAUUCCAGAAACCACCAUAAAAAGGCUGGAGGACGACAAGAUUGAUGUCAGUGUCCUACUGCUAAUGACUGAUGACCAGAUGAGAAGCUAUUUUCCUUCAUAUGGAGACAGACUCGCAGUGAUGGGGUUUUGCAGGAGGCAAGAAAGUGAGCCAACUUGCAGGAAGUCAAAGCUGUUUGAGCGCCUCAAAUCAAAAUUGAGCAAAAGACAAAAAACUGACAGUUCACAAACUGAAACCCAAACAACUAGAAAAAAACAAUUCUCAGCGUACUGUAAGAAAAGUUGAGAUUGGGUGGAUGCACUAUGAUGGGCAGGGCUUUGUUCAAAUGAGAGCAAAAAAAGGAGGGGGAACAAGGAAGUUGAGUGUGCCAAAAGACUGGAAAAGGGACGAACUGAUGGAGGAGGCAAUUCGUUU